rnacentral:rRNA from 1 species
UAGAAUUUCGGUGGAGGAUGACUUCGCGGCCUAUCAGCUAGUUGGUGAGGUAAUGGCUCACCAAGGCAACGACGGGUAGCCGGCCUGAGAGGGCGACCGGCCACACUGGGACUGAGACACGGCCCAGACUCCUACGGGAGGCAGCAGUGGGGAAUAUUGGGCAAUGGAGGAAACUCUGACCCAGCGACGCCGCGUGCGGGAUGAAGGCCUUCGGGUUGUAAACCGCUUUCAGUAGGGAAGAAGCGAAAGUGACGG